UGGGGAAUUUUGCGCAAUGGGGGCAACCCUGACGCAGCAACGCCGCGUGCGGGAUGAAGGUCUUCGGAUUGUAAACCGCUUUCAGUAGGGAAUAAGUAUGAAGGUACCUACAGAAGAAGCACCGGCUAAAUACGUGCCAGCAGCCGCGGUAAUACGUAUGGUGCAAGCGUUAUCCGGAAUCAUUGGGCGUAAAGCGCGCGUAGGCGGCUUGUUAAGCAGGAAUUUAAAUCUUAGGGCUCAACCUUAAGUCGGUUCCUGAACUGGCAGGCUCGAGUGCGGUAGAGGAAGGUGGAAUUCCCAGUGUAGCGGUGAAAUGCGCAGAUAUUGGGAAGAACACCGAUGGCGAAGGCAGCCUUCUGGGCCGCCACUGACGCUGAGGCGCGAAAGCUAGGGGAGCGAACAGG
rnacentral:rRNA from 2 species